AUUGUAGAAGUGGUUAGAAUCUACAUUUAAUGCUCUGAGAACAAAUGUCUCAGAAUGCAGCAGGGGCAUGUUCAAACUGGGUCUGCCCCACUUUGAAAGAUGGCCCCAUGUGACUUUCAUCAGUACCCAUCCCCAACCCAACCUUCAGCCCAGACCUGGAUGUGGGUAGAAACCAACACACCUAAGGAAAGAGGCAGAUGUCUGAGCCAACAGUGGGGAUUGUUGCCAAGGCUGCUGGCAUCACAAAGGUGCUGAUGUCAUCGCCUAGUAACACAGAAACAGAGAUGGGCUACAGUUGAAGAGGAAGAGGGGAAGGAAACAGGAGUUGUGGGCACAAGAGUCCCACAGGAUGGAGAGAGCGAGGAAGCAGGAAACAAGGAACGACAAAGGCCUAUAACCUGGCGUUGAGAAACUGUGCGCCGGAAAAGUGAUGUGCAGAGAAUCAUGUUCUCUUCAGAAAAAAGAUACAGGAGGUGGGGAAGUGUGAGCAGCUGGGGGAGCCAGGAGAGUGCUGGAGAAAUAUUCAAUGGACAUAAAAACACACAAGUGACCUUCAGGCACCUUGCAAGGCUAAGUGCUCCCUAGCAAACUGGCAAGAACCACUUCCCACCUGACAGACUGCAUUGCAUCAACCAAACAAGCCAAUAUAGUUCUUCAAAUAUUCUCCCAGAGCCUGACCUCACAUUUUGGUUGAAGCGAAGUUUGGAAGUAGCACUACUACAUUUCCAAGAGUUCUGCAAGAAGAAGGGCACAGAUAAUCAAGCUCAGGUAGGCAAGCUUAGAUUAUUUUGGAAGGCUUUGCAUUCUAGACUUGUGCUGUGAAAUUGCCCAUUAGUUUGGGGUUCAAAUGUGGUUCAUAUAAAACCUACAUGCAACUUUCUUUUCAGGCUUCUGAUAUUGGUUGGAGUAAAUUACACUUUAUUCCCACAGCAAUCAAAGGGACUUGAGUUAGUUGUGAUCAUGACUAAUUUGCCUCACUGAUUUCAAUGGGGUUAAAACUUGAUGAACUUACAGUACAAUCCUAUACAUGUCUACACAGAAAUAAACCCCACUGAGUUCAGCAGAGCUCUCUCUCAAGUAAAUUGGUAUAGGAUUGCAGUCUUAGUCUGGGUACAACCCAUAGCAAAACACAACCAAAUAUGUCCCCCCACUUCAGUCCUCGAUGUCACGGGAGGAGAUUUAAUUAUGGGCUACCAUUGGAACUUUACUGUGCUUAACUGUGACUAGAUUGUACUCUUGGGGUGGUAUUCAACUUUUACUCUUAAGUAGACCUAUUGAAAUUAAUGGACCUAAUAGAGUAGAUCAACUAGUAUUGAUAAACAUGACCUAAGUAAAACUACGUA